rnacentral:lncRNA from 1 species
GAGGUCAGUCAAAAUAUGAAGUAUAGAGAAAGUGCAUAAAACAUUUUCUUGAAAGAGCUCAACAAAAGAAAUUCAUUGGUGCCAAAAUUUUUGAAAUCGGUCAAGCGGUUCAAAAGUUAUGACCAUUUAGAAAUCAAAAAUUUGGCCUUUUUCCUUGCGAAGGCAAAAAUACCAUAUUUUGGGCUAUUUGUGAGGCCAAUUAUAACCAAAGUAUUAGAAACUACAAGCAAUAUAUCUACAUAAUUGCAAUAAGGCCCUUUUAAGCUUUGAUUUAAGCCAC